rnacentral:rRNA from 1 species
GUUGCGAACGGGUGAGUAACGCGUAGGUAACCUGCCUGGUAGCGGGGGAUAACUAUUGGAAACGAUAGCUAAAUACCGCAUAAGAGUAGAUGUUGCAUGACAUUUGCUUAAAAGGUGCAAUUGCAUCACUACCAGAUGGACCUGCGUUGUAUUAGCUAGUUGGUGGGGUAACGGCUCACCAAGGCGACGAUACAUAGCCGACCUGAGAGGGUGAUCGGCCACACUGGGACUGAGACACGGCCCAGACUCCUACGGGAGGCAGCAGUAGGGAAUCUUCGGCAAUGGACGGAAGUCUGACCGAGCAACGCCGCGUGAGUGAAGAAGGUUUUCGGAUCGUAAAGCUCUGUUGUAAGAGAAGAACGAGUGUGAGAGUGGAAAGUUCACACUGUGACGGUAUCUUACCAGAAAGGGACGGCUAACUACGUGCCAGCAGCCGCGGUAAUACGUAGGUCCCGAGCGUUGUCCGGAUUUAUUGGGCGUAAAGCGAGCGCAGGCGGUUAGAUAAGUCUGAAGUUAAAGGCUGUGGCUUAACCAUAGUACGCUUUGGAAACUGUUUAACUUGAUGCAAGAGGGGAGAGUGGAUUCCAUGUGUAGCGGUGAAAUGCGUAGAUAUAUGGAG